UAAUACGUAGGGUGCGAGCGUUGUCCGGAAUUAUUGGGCGUAAAGAGCUCGUAGGCGGCCUGUUGCGUCUGCUGUGAAAGCCCGGGGCUUAACCCCGGGUCUGCAGUGGAUACGGGCAGGCUAGAGUUCGGCAGGGGAGACUGGAAUUCCUGGUGUAGCGGUGAAAUGCGCAGAUAUCAGGAGGAACACCGGUGGCGAAGGCGGGUCUCUGGGCCGAUACUGACGCUGAGGAGCGAAAGCGUGGGGAGCAAACAGGAUUAGAUACCCUGGUAGUCCACGCCGUAAACGUUGGGCGCUAGGUGUGGGGUCCCUUCCACGGGUUCCGUGCCGUAGCUAACGCAUUAAGCGCCCCGCCUGGGGAGUACGGCCGCAAGGCUA
rnacentral:rRNA from 1 species